ensembl:ncRNA F19B10.14 ncRNA
GAAUGUCCGAUCAGUUUGAGUUUAUCAGUUUGGAGCAAUUGGAGCAAUCGGAGCCCACCAAAAAACUGAUUAAAAAUUCUGAAAAUCGCGCUGAAAAUAAUGGCUGGAACUCGAAAGUUUAUGAGAAGGCUUUCAGUGAUGUGGAGCAGUGGCUGGAGAAGGAUCGGCGGAACUCUACCAAAAAAUAACUGAAUUUUUGUUUCGAAAUUCCAAUUUCAAAUUUCUUAUCUUAUCUAUACACUAUCAGUUCAGUUGUUUGAACAUGUUUUUUUUUAAACACCAACCAACUAAUAAAACAUUGCA